rnacentral:piRNA from 1 species
UAAGACAGACUGGCUGAGGCUGCUAGGUA